GGAAGGAGCCGGAACUCAAGGAGGCGGGCCAGCGACUGGAGAUUAAUUUCCGGGUCGCGGCCGAGCUGGCUUUCACGUGGAGGCGGGGAAGAUUGGCGUGCGGGAAUGAUCACGAAAACCCACAAAGGAGACCCGGGCCUUGGGGUCCCAGAGAAAAAGAAGAAAAAAAAGAAGGUAGUCAAAGAACCAGAGACUCAGUACUCAGUUUUAAACAGUGAUAAUUACUUCACUGAGAUCUGUCCCACAAGAGCAACAUUCCCCUCGAAGAGUGUGGAGGUAGGGCAGGCAUCUGAGAUGCCUCUGGUGAAGAAAAAGAAGAAAAAGAAGGGCCUUAGUACCCUCUGCCAGGAGCACCUAGAACCCGAGACCGUGUUACGUGCUGGACGGACAGAGAAGUUGGCCACCCCCAGGAAGCAGGUUCUUGGUUCAUCUGAGUUCCAAGGUGGGGAGAAGAAAAAAAAGAGGAAGUCCUUAAAACCUCUGGCCAUGCCUUCUAGCUCAAGAGGGAGGACCUCCCCAGACACUAGACAGGUUGAGGAGGUGACCAGAGUUGGCAAGAAGCCCAAAAAACACAAGAAGGAGAAGAAGGCCCGGGAGGCUGCAGCUGCCUCGGCCAAGGACCCUUGUUUCCGUGAGUUUGGGGAUACUCUGUACACUUGCUCAGUGGGGAAGGAUGGUGCGGAGCAGACAGGCUCAGGGCAGAAACGGAAACAGGGCAGCCCCAGGGAAUGCAACGUGAAGAUGAAGAAGAAAAAGAAAAUCCACCUUAAGGGAGAUACCUCUGUAGAAGAGCACCUUGAGUGUUCCAGGUCUGUGGAGAGCAGCCCUAGGAAAGGAACUAAGAAGCCAGUCAAACUUGAGGCUCCAGAAUACAUCCCAAUAGGACAAAACCCCAAGUCCCCCGCAAAGAAGAAAAUGAAGUCCAAGAAAAAGGUAGAGCAGCCAGGUAUGGAGGAGCCAGCUCUGAAGAGGAGUAAAAAGAAGAAGGUGAAAGAGAGCAAAGUAGCGGAAGAACCUUGGGAAGAGGAGCCUGACCCAGACUUAGAGGUGGUGUUGGAAAAGAAAGGCAACAUGGAUGAGGCGCACAUAGACCAGGUGAGGCGAAAGGCCUUGCAAGAAGAAAUCGAUCGUGAGUCAGGCAAAACAGAAGCUUCUGAACCGAGGAAGUGGACAGGAACUCAGUUUGGCCAGUGGGAUACUGCUAGUUUUGAAAAUGAGGAACAGAAACUAAAAUUUCUCAAACUGAUGGGUGGCUUUAAAAAUGGGACCCCUUCGCUCAGCCGCCCCUCUAACACAGGCGGAAGGCCCAACAUGGCUCUCAGCAAGAAGGCAGCUGACGCCCUGCAGCGGAACCUGCAGCAGGACUACGACCGGGCCAUGAGCUGGAAGCACAAGCGGGGCGCUGGCCUGGGCUUCUCCACCACCCCAGACAAAAUCUUUUAUAUUGACCGGAAUGCUUCCAAGUCAAUCAAGUUUGAAGAUUAAACUCUACUGUCUUAUCCUUCAAAACUGCCACAAUUGCUUUUACUGUUCAGUUAUGCAGUUGAAAGCCAUCUGACAACUGUCUCAGAUCAAAUCUCUGCAGAGAUUAAGUUGAAAACUCUACCCAUGUGCUUGGACAAACUGGGGUCAGGGAGCUCGUGUUUCAGAAGCCAAGAGAACAUGCUGCAAGAGGAAUCCCCAUUUUGCAGAUACACUCAAAGCUCGGAAGGCUUUGGGGGACUUGCUCACGGACCACAACUAGUAAGUAGAAAGCACAGUAAGUACAAAGCAGGGAUUUGAACUCCAGUUGUCCUGCUCCAAAGCCUGUGCCCACACCCUCCCAUGUCCCACUCCAGCUUCAUAAAUAUUCCUAUGGACCUGGUGUUAGCAUCACAUUAGGAAUCCACAUUCUGAAGAGACUAAGCGUUGCUUUUUCAACUACUCAAGGUAGACAAAACCAACCUUCUAACCAUCGGUCUGUCCAUCCAUCAUUCCACAAACCGUCACGGGAGCCAGACCCUGCUAACUGCUGAACCAACUUAAUCCCUGCUGCCAUCCUCAGCCAAGUGAGAAUUUAAAAUCUCUUUGUGGAGGAAAAAAACCUGUUGAGGCGCAGCUUUAAGGACAGUCGGGCAUGGGGCUGAGGGGCAAUAAGAGACCUCCACUGGAGGACCAGGUGAGCCUUGGCCACUGUGUGGACCUAGUGACAGUCCCAGAAGUAGCAGGACUGAAAAUGACCAUCAAGGAGUGGAGUCAUGCUGUGCACUGCCCAAGCCUGCGGGCCACAGGAGAAAAGCAGCAUGUUCUAGGCACAGACUCACUAAGUGGCUGCCGAAUGCCUGCUUGGGGUCCUUUGAUCAGACAAUGCAAUUCUACCCAACCAGGAACCUGGGCCGAGACCAGCAUUCUGUGGGCUCCAGUCCAGUCUGCUGCCUGCCUUUUAAGCCGGCCCCCAUCUGAUGGCUAGGACAACAGGAGGGUUCAUUCUGCUUCUAUCUACAGUACAAAACUAAAACAAAUUCUAUUUCAAAUACAACUAAAAGAGUUUCCCCCUGAGAGAGGUCCUUUAACUACAUUUCAUUGAAGUAGGAGAGAUUUUUUUUAAAAGACAAGGGAGACAGCAUCUAACAACUAGCUAUUUCUCUAUUCUGUAUCUUCUCAGUAAGCAUUUUACCCCCAAACCCCCAUCCACAUGUGUGUCAAAUGCACAGCCCAUUAAAAGUGAAACCGUGAGAGACCGGUCUGAGGGGUGAGAAGUCCUGCAAGCGGACAUGCAGAGACCCCCAAGCCAUGAACACAUUAUGAAAACUGAGUCAGGGCCUUGAGCCCCCUCCUCCUCUUCCUCAGAGGUUUUAAAUAAAAAUAAGCUUUUCAUUCUUUUCCUAUGAGAACUGUCAUUUCCAGGAAGCUCCCUGGGUCUGGCAUAAUUCCCAGCUUCACCCCACCUAAACAAACAACUUCAUCAAGCUCUGAGUAAACUGGCAAGCCCCUUCUUAGAGAUUUGGAGAAAAUUUUGGAAGCAGGGUUGCUUCCAUCCAGCACUGAGAAAUGACCUACUCCAGAUGGGCAUCAGCACUCGGGGGUUUUCAACAGCACGAAACUUUGCUCUCCACCUGGUAGAGAAAUCUGACCCCUGCUUCCCAGUUCCCAAAUUUGAUGAUCCUGUCUGCAGGGCCCCUGCUGUGACCUGCUUGCCUACGCUGACUUCCACACCGCACUGUUAAAAUGAAGGAUGGUAUGUUCCGUUUUAGCUCGGUCCACCCAUAUUUUUCUAAUAAAUGUGCAUAUAUGGAAGGACAUUUUCACUGAAUGUCCCUGGUAUUUAUGGGAGUUGAAAUGUUCUUUGGAAGAAUUCCAACUUCGCUGGUUUUUUUUUCAGAAUCCUGUUUCAGAGUCAUUACAAUCAAUACCCCCUCCUCCAAGAGAAAGAGACAUAAUUGUUAAAUACAAUCCCAGCACUGCCCCCCCCAACAACUGCAAAAAUACAUUCCAAGACCCCCAGUAAACACCAGAAACCACAGACAGUUCUGAACCUUAUACGGUACUGUUUUUUCCUAUAUACAUACCUCUGACAGUUUAUAAAUUAGGGACAGUAAGAAAUUAACAAAAGGGAAUUAUAUACUGUAAUCAAAGUAAUGUUAAUGUGGUUUCUCAAAAUACUGUAUUGUACUCAUUCUUACAAUUACUGCUCCAUGAGAUAAGGGAAUGACACAGGCACUGUGACGUCUUGUUAGGCUGCUCUUGACCGGAUUAGAUGUCAGGAGUCGGGGGUAGAAUCUGCUUUUGGACAGUAGUUGGCCCCGGUAACUGAAACUGCAUGGCAGCGGGGUAAGGGGAGACUGUGUCCCAGUAGUGGGACACAACAACUAUAUAUAGUUUUCAGCUUGAUUUUUAUUGUGAGCUUGGGGGUUGUUCUAGGUCAUGGUCCUUUAUGCUGUAGGUGGCCACCUCUGAUUAAACCUAGCCUUCUGUAUCAGGUCAGGGUGAAGAAAUGUAUUUUCAAGCCAUGUGCCAAAUUUUUCUUGGGUGUUACCUGUUAAACAGUACUGCUCUAAGAGGUCCCUGGGCAAAAAAUUGGUGCCAGAACCAUGGUUUUAAAAAUCAGGAAAAGGUGCCUAAGAAGAACUUUUCAGGGCAGAGGAGCUGAAGGUAAAGGACCCCAUUUCUACCUGAGGGGUAGAAAGAGCUCGCCCCUGAAAGCUACCAAUACUCAGAGACAAAAAAAGAAAAAAAAGUUUUUAGCCCUAAGAGUUUGCUCAUGUUUGAAAAAGGCCCUUUAGUUGAGGGAGAGUUGACUCUUCUGAUAGUUACUGGUUUGAUAAACCAGUUUCCCUGAAUUGGGGUUCUGAUUCUGCCCUUUCCCCUGACAGCCAAAUGCCCUUCAUGUGUUAAUUUCCCCAGAGUCCUGCAGCCCUGCAUCCAGAAAGGUCCCUAGGCUGGUGGGACACGCCAAAACACACUCCCCUCAGAGAGUGCGCUGUGACGUACAUGGGACCUAUUGCUAACCAAAAGGCUGGCCUGAACUUGGCAGGGGCCACUGGAGGAUGGAGUCUAGAAAAAAUACAACUCGCUCCAGCAUCUGCUUGACUAUCCUAGGGAUAAUGGGAAUCCAGAACACACAUGUACGUCAUACAUUUCUAUGCCCACAGCUAUACAAUAUUCUUGUGGUUUUCUGCUGGGGAAAGACUAAGGACAGUGGUGGCAUUUCAUAUAGCCCCAGAAAUGAGUAUGAAUUAAACUUAAUAUCCAGUGGGAUCUUAUUUUGUCUUCAAAGGGUUUGAUGGAGGGGGAUAUAAGAGCAAAAACCUAGGAAGAGCCUUGGGAAGGGGAGGGCUGGAAAGCUACUGGGAAAUAGGCAGUCCACAAUCUGCCUCAGGUUGGGGAAAGGGAAUGGAGGAGCAGGACAGCGGAGAGAACAGGGCCUGCGAGGGUGAAUCUGGACUGAGCUAUCAGGUUGUCUCUUACCAAGUAGGAAUAAAAAAAAAAAA